rnacentral:lncRNA from 1 species
AGGGCUUCGCUUGAGUACAGGAGUGGUUGGCGUUGAUGUUGCGUUUUCUCAACGGCGGCAUCCGAGGAGUUCGUCCUCACCACUGCGCGCCGACGGUUCUUAGACUCUGUGAGUAAAGACAGCUUCAUCUUCCCAGUUCAUCAUGGCUUCAACAUCCAGAUAACAACGAACUUGAUGCAAGUGAUAGGUUUGCCAAGGUCAGACCUCUCAUCAUCCGGAUGAACUGCAAUUUCCAGAAGCAUGCACCCUUGGAAGAGUUCUACAGCUUUGGCGAGUCUAUGU